CAGGGAAUCUUGCGCAAUGGACGGCAGUCCGACGCAGCGACGCCGCGUGGGUGAAGACGGCCUUCGGGUUGUAAAGCCCUUUUCUGGGGGAAGAGAUAGGACGGGACUCCAGGAAUAAGUGUCGGCUAACUACGUGCCAGCAGCCGCGGUAAUACGUAGGACACGAGCGUUAUCCGGAUUUACUGGGCGUAAAGCGCCUGUAGGCGGUUCUUCAAGUCGUUUGUGAAAGCCCUGGGCUCAACUCGGGGAGGCCAAGCGAUACUGGAGGACUUGAGGGUGACAGAGGGGAGUGGAAUUUCCGGUGUAGCGGUAAAAUGCGCAGAUAUCGGGAAGAACACCAGUGGCGAAGGCGGCUCCCUGGGUCACACCAGACGCUGAGAGGCGAAAGCUAGGGGAGCGAACAG
rnacentral:rRNA from 1 species